AGGGGCUGGAGAGAUGGCUCAAAGGUUAA
rnacentral:piRNA from 1 species